UACGAAAGGGGCUAGCGUUGCUCGGAAUCAUUGGGCGUAAAGCGCGCGCAGGUGGUCAUGUAAGUUGAAAGUGAAAGCCCGGGGCUUAACCUCGGAAUUGCUUCCAAAACUGCAUGGCUAGAGAAUGGUAGAGGAUAGUGGAAUUCCCGGUGUAGAGGUGAAAUUCGUAGAUAUCGGGAGGAACACCAGUGGCGAAGGCGGCUAUCUGGGCCAUUUCUGACACUGAGGCGCGAAAGCGUGGGGAGCAAACAGG
rnacentral:rRNA from 1 species